CUUAAAGCAAAAUCUACUUUAAUUAAACCCCUAACAUUCUGAUUAAAGAUGAUAAUCCUUUUGCACUGUGAACUUGUGAUAAGUACGUUCAAUUUGUAUCCAUUUUUAAAAGACAGUGCUGCCUUUUGACACACGCUUGCAUGGCAAUACGUGAAACCUAACGUUUAUCUAAGAUUAAGUUCUGCUUAAAUCCUCUUCUUUGUCUUUAACUGUUUGCAGCACUCACAGUGGUUUUUUUCUUUAGGAUAAAGGAAGAAUCCAGUGUUAUUUCGUUUGACAGAUACUGGCAACUUUGGGGAUACAGUCAGUCUUUAUAUUACUUUAUUACAGUUCAAUGAAAGGGAGUAGAAUCUUGAUUUUAACUCAGUUUUAUAUUCUUCCACUGGUCCCAGCAAUGAAGGAUGGUAGGCUCUGGGGACUGUGCAGUGAUCACUGAUAAAGCAAAAAAGAUAUUACAACAAGGAUUAAAGAUUAUAUUCAGUCUAGAGCUGGAGCAUUUCUUAACUCUAAAAUGGAGACAAGUCAGGGUUUUGAAAUAUUAUUGCAGAAGGGGAUGAGGCAACCAAUUACAGCUCUCUUCACCCUCACAGGAGAAAAAGAAACUGUGGCUCAGAGACAUUCAGUAACCUUCCCAAAUUCUCCCAGUGAAUUAGCCGCUGAGCGGGGACUUGAACCCAGCUCUGAUUGGAGGCCCCUUGGCAGCACGCUCGGCUGCUUCAUCCCAGCAGCUUCCCAUAAAUACACAAAGUUCAUAGAGUCUGUUCACAACAACAACUAUGCAGAUAUUUCUAUUUUAAAAGUUGUGAGCAGAGAGUUGUGCUACUUCAGCAAGCAAGUCCUAAGGGUUCAGUGUAUACUGAGAUGGUGAGUGCUGGAGUCAAAUAAAGCAUUAAUUUGACAAUUUUUCAGUACUCUGCCUAGCCGUUAUUUUGCCAAGAAGAUCAGUCAGUGUAUCUGGGAAAUCAUACAUAAAUGUUAGGUAAUUCAUUUAUUACUUUUACAAAAACAAGACUUAAAAAAAUAGUUUCUUCUUACUUUGUUGGUGUAUUUAUUUAUUUAUUUAUUUAGUUAGUUAUUCAUUCAUUCAUUCAUUCAUUCAUUCAUUUUUGAAACAGAGCAUGAGCAGGGGAGGGUCAGGGACAGAGAAGGACAGAUGAUCCAAAGCGGGCUAUGCGCUGACAGCAGAGAGCCAAAAGUGGAGCUCAAACUCAAGAACCGCGAGAUCACGACCAAAGCCGAAGUCGGACGCUCAACUGAGCCAUUCAGGUGCCAUUUUUAUAUAUUUUUAAUCAAGGUGAGCCUCUAUCAUUUUAUUUGAUUUAUCCUAGUUCUCCUCUCCUACCCUCUAUCCAACUCCUCCCUCCCCUCAUACCAACACACUCACAUAUUAGAGGACCAUUUAGGACCACUGACUGAAUCCCUUGUAUGGUUGGCAUUGUUUGUGACCCACUCCUCGCUAUGACCCCAGUGAGGCUUCCUGGGUGCCCCCCCUGGAGCCCACCCCCACCCCCAGCACAUCAGGCUCUAUCCUCUGCCCAUCCUGACAUGUCUCUGGUUGGCAGUCCAGCACCCAGCAGACAAUCAAGAACCCAUGGCUGCAGGUGGACCUCCUGGAGAUGACAGCAUGGUCCUUACACCAACAAGAGGAAGGGAAGCACGUAAGCUGAGGGUGUGGACUUGGGAGAGACCUCUGAGAUCCAACCUGCCGCUUUCUCAGAGAGUGAAAGGAGGCAACCUGCUUAAGGAAAGCCAGCUAGACAGAGAAAGACAGACGGACUAGAACUGAGAUUUCCCAUCCCCCGAUCCCCACUCCCUCCACUAUUUCAUAAGGUGUAAAAGAGUAACAUAUUUAUCUACUGACAGUUACUUGUAUUCUCUAUUUUUUUGAAUAGGCAUUAGCAGCAGCUUUCAAUAAAGGAUGAAUGUUUACUAUAAUUUGAGCAAAGGUAAGGUGAAUAGAGGCAUGUAUUUAAGAGAGUGGAUGGGGAGUUUUCAAUAUGAAGGAGGCCAUUUGGGAGUGCAAUACUAAAUCUAAAUACUCAGAUUUGGUUCUGAGUUUCCUGGAGGUAAGUUGAAAAUGGAAACACUGAAUUAGUAUUUGAAGUUUAUCAUAAAAACUUCAUCCAAACAUUAUACUUAAUUAAAAAAUGUCAGCUAUAUUAUAAUGGACAGUGUCUUCAAUAACACUUAUAAAAGAUAUGGGACAAUUCUUGAUAGAGUUCAUAUUAAAUCUUGGUUCUGUCUGAAUCAGCAUUUCUUUGGGAACCUAGAGCACGAGGGUUCAGUUAUGUUGUUGUAACAUGAUUUGAUUCAGGAUAGAGUUUAAAGUCUUUAAAGCAAUUGUUCUCAAGGGUGCCUGGGUGGCUCAGUCGGUUAAGUGUCCGACUCUUGAUUUUAGCUCAGGUCAUUAUCUCACAGCUUGUGAGAUCGGGCCCCACAUUGGGCUCUGUGCCAACAAUGUGGAGCCUGCUUGGGAUUCUGUCUCUCCCUCUCUGUCUGUUCCUCCCCUGCUCAUCUCUCUCUCUCAAAAAUUUAAAAAUGUUUAAAAAGCAAUUGUUCUCAAAUAUUAAUGUGAAAAUAAUUUACUACAAAGGUUUUUUUUUUCCUAAUGUAGAUCACUGUCCUCUCUCACCCUCAUCCUUCAAUCUAUAGGUCCAAGAUAGAGCCUAAGAGUCUGCAUUAUUAAUAAGCUCUGGUUGUGAUUCAGGUGGCCAGUGGGGCACAUCUGAAGCAACACCAACCUAGAAGAACAAAUUAUUCCUAUGCUCCUUAGCUUUGAUCUUCCCUUUGAAUAUAUAUUUUCUCAACUUGGUUUUGAUUAGCAGCCAAUAGCCUGAGAUUGAUUUUUCAGGGAAGACAGAGGAAAUGCAAAGGCUCUGGGUUGCUGAGAUUCAUAUACUUUAUUUAUCAGGCAUACAUGAAAUAACAAUGCUUAAUAAACUCAAACCUAGAGGAGUAAAGGGAGCCAUGAAAAAGACAGGAUAAGUGGAAGAGGAGAAGUCAUAAGGGCCACAUUGGAAACUCCAAAGCUAACCUUUGCUGCUUUGUCAUUUUCCAAGGCCCAGCCUUGUUUGGGUUCUGUGGUGCAUGGGGGAAUCUGUGCCUCACCUUGCUGUCUUUGCCUACAGUUUAUAUGAAGAUUUUCCUGGAAGUCCAUUCUGAAUCAGAGAGGUGGGGCUAAAUCGGGUGUCCAAUGGGGUUCUGUAGAUUCCCAAGGAUUCACAGUGGAAUUCAGGGACCCUGAACCUCCUGAAAUUAUACAUGAAUAUUUUGUGUGUAUAGGAAUAUGUGUAUUUUUGUGAAAGGAGGUUCCAAUUGCAACUUUCAUCAGUGCUCAAAGGGACCAUAAAUGACUGCAAAGAGUGAAAAACCACUGGGAGUCCCUGGCACAACCAAGGGUGCAUCAAGCUCUGUGUUCAUGUCGCAGUGCUCCAUCACAUUGCAGUCUAAGGUCAGUUAGCCGACAUCCUCCUUGGUGACAGCUAGGUCACUAAGUAUCUCUCCACAGGAGCACCCCUCCAUGCCCAAUCUGAGGAUUAUGGUAGCAAAGCUGUCAGGCUUAAUUUUGACAAAUUGUUUUGGGUAAUUAGUCCCUUUUAAUGGCUCGUGGAAAUAGUAAUUUUAGGUGACAAGAUUAUUAUAUGCUGCUUGUUAAUGGGUCCUCCAGGGUCAAGAAAACACCACUGGGAUUGCUAUGACCUGUUCUUUUCCAUCUUUGGCAUUCCCCUUGAAAGUAUCACAAAAGACGUUUAGUAAAGUCAGCUCCCACUCCGUGAAAAGUUCAGAGCAUGAGUUUCCUUUUAUCCUUUUGCCAAGUGAAGGAUUAGAGAAGGACUUUCAACUUUUCCCUGUUUCUGCCAGCCCAUGUCAGUCUUCACAGACUUGUUGAUCAUUAACUCGAAAAGCUGGGGAAGUUUCUAGCCCUUCCCUUUGCUUAUUUACCUGUUCAACCAAGUUGCUUUACAAGCGAGUGAGUUUUGAAUAAGUAGGGUAGGUCCUAGGUGAUAAAAUAUUUGACUCAGCUCAAGUUGAAUAUUUUCAUUGCUUCUCACUUCACUGAACAGGAAGGUCAGUUUGACCAGUAGGUCGGGGCAGGUCUGUGUAAUGGUUCAUCAUGUGUCUUCCCAGGGGAGCAGUGGAUGGAAAGGCAGAGAACUCUUCUCAGCACUUUAGGAGGCUGGGAAUUGACUGGCUAUUUACUAACUGUGUCAUUCUGGGCCAUUUAUUUGACCUCCUUAAGCCCUCAUUUCAUCAUCUGUCAAAAGGGGAUAAAAAUAAUAGCUAGCUCAUGGUACAGCCAUAAGGACUAAAUGAUAUCAUAAAUACCCAGCAUAUAACAAGAACUAAACCAAACAAAGAGCAUCUAUUAUCAUUAUGGCCCAUUUAUCCUUCCCAAAUCCAGAUCUUAUUAAGAAGUUUGAAAUAGUGGAGAAGUAAAAAAAGUAUUAUAUUCACACCCAACUUUAUCUCCAUGCCUUCCAAGCUUGUUAAUGUAGGCACAUCUAAUCCUGUGUACACUGAAAUGUAUAAUGGUUUAAAAUGAUGCAGACACGGGGCACCUGACUGGCUUAGUCAGAGAGCAUGUGACUCUUGACCUUGGGGUCAUUGAGUCUGAGCCCCACAUUAGGUGUAGGACGUACUUUAAAAAUAAAAUAAGAUGAUGCAGGUGAGGAUAGACCAUCACUACAUUGCUAUCUACUUAAAGUAGGUAACAUUGAUGUCAAUGUGUGUAACCACAUUCCUUGAAAUCAAAGAUUUCAUGUGAAAGUGACCAUAAAGAAUUUGUGGGGACCCAA
rnacentral:lncRNA from 1 species